AGAGUUUGAUCAUGGCUCAGAGUGAACGCUGGCGGCAUGCCUAACACAUGCAAGUCGAACGGCAGCAUGGCGUGUAGCAAUACACGCUGAUGGCGAGUGGCGGACGGGUGAGGAAUACAUCGGAAUUUGCCCAGUCGUGGGGGAUAACGUAGGGAAACUUACGCUAAUACCGCAUACGACCUUACGGUGAAAGCGGGGGAUCGCAAGACCUCGCGCGGAUGGAUAAGCCGAUGUCGGAUUAGCUAGUUGGCGGGGUAAAGGCCCACCAAGGCGACGAUCCGUAGCUGGUCUGAGAGGAUGAUCAGCCAGACUGGGACUGAGAACGGCCCAGACUCCUACGGGAGGCAGCAGUAGGGAAUUUUCCACAAUGGGCGAAAGCCUGAUGGAGCAACGCCGCGUGCAGGAUGAAGGCUUUCGGGUCGUAAACUGCUUUUAUCUGUGAAGAUUAUGACGGUAGCAGAUGAAUAAGGAUCGGCUAACUCCGUGCCAGCCGCCGCGGUAAUAC
rnacentral:rRNA from 1 species